rnacentral:ribozyme from 1 species
AAAAAAAAAACAAGGAAAAGGCCGUUUAAAACUCAAAAACUCAUUGAGUCUUCUUACUCUUUUGCCAAAAUAUGUCUCUCUCUUCGCCAGUCUUUUUUGCUUUCUUAUUUUUUCCAUUCAU